AUUAAAUUAUCAUAAUUAAUGUUUUAAAUUUAGAAUUUAAAUAAGUAAUUUUUAUUACAUUUAAUA
rnacentral:tRNA from 1 species